CCUACGGGCGGCAGCAGUGAGGAAUAUUGGUCAAUGGACGAGAGUCUGAACCAGCCAAGUAGCGUGAAGGAUGACUGCCCUAUGGGUUGUAAACUUCUUUUAUAUGGGAAUAAAAUGUUCCACGUGUGGGAUUUUGUAUGUACCAUAUGAAUAAGGAUCGGCUAACUCCGUGCCAGCAGCCGCGGUAAUACGGAGGAUCCGAGCGUUAUCCGGAUUUAUUGGGUUUAAAGGGAGCGUAGGUGGAUUGUUAAGUCAGUUGUGAAAGUUUGCGGCUCAACCGUAGAAUUGCAGUUGAAACUGGCAGUCUUGAGUACAGUAGAGGUGGGCGGAAUUCGGGGUGUAGCGGUGAAAUGCUUAGAUAUCACGAAGAACUACGAUUGCGAAGGCAGUUCACUGGACUGCAACUGACACUGAGGCUCGAAAGUGUGGGUAUCAAACAGGAUUAGAUACCCUUGUAGUC
rnacentral:rRNA from 1 species